AAUACGACUCUCGGCAACGGAUAUCUCGGCUCUCGCAUCGAUGAAGAACGUAGCGAAAUGCGAUACUUGGUGUGAAUUGCAGAAUCCCGUGAACCAUCGAGUCUUUGAACGCAAGUUGCGCCCGAAGUCGUUAGGCCGAGGGCACGUCUGCCUGGGCGUCACGC
rnacentral:rRNA from 1 species